rnacentral:rRNA from 2 species
UCGUACGAAUAAGGNUNGGCUAACUCCGUGCCAGCAGCCGCGGUAAUACGGAGGAUUCAAGCGUUAUCCGGAUUUAUUGGGUUUAAAGGGUGCGUAGNCGGUUUGAUAAGUUAGAGGUGAAAUCCCGGGGCUUAANUCCGGAACUGCCUNUAAUACUGUUAGACUAGAGAGUAGUUGCGGUAGGCGGAAUGUAUGGUGUAGCGGUGAAAUGCUUAGAGAUCAUACAGAACACCGAUUGCGAAGGCAGCUUACCAAACUAUAUCUGACGUUGAGGCACGAAAGCGUGGGGAGCAAACAGGAUUAGAUACCCUGGUAGUCCACGCAGUAAACGAUGAUAACUCGUUGUCGGCGAUACACAGUCGGUGACUAAGCGAAAGCGAUAAGUUAUCCACCUGGGGAGUACGUUCGCAAGAAUGAAACUCAAAGGAAUUGACGGGGGCCCGCACAAGCGGAGGAACAUGUGGUUUAAUUGGAUGAUACGCGAGGAACCUUACCCGGGCUUGAAAGUUACUGACGAUUCUGGAAACAGGAUUUCCCUUCGGGGCAGGAAACUAGGUGCUGCAUGGUUGUCGUCAGCUCGUGCCGUGAGGUGUCGGGUUAAGUCCCAUAACGAGCGCAACCCCUACCGUUAGUUGCCAUCAGGUCAAGCUGGGCACUCUGGCGGGACUGCCGGUGUAAGCCGAGAGGAAGGUGGGGAUGACGUCAAAUCAGCACGGCCCUUACGUCCGGGGCUACACACGUGUUACAAUGGUAGGUACAGAGGGUCGCUACCCCGUGAGGGGAUGCCAAUCUCGAAAGCCUAUCUCAGUUCGGAUUGGAGGCUGAAACCCGCCUCCAUGAAGUUGGAUUCGCUAGUAAUCGCGCAUCAGCCAUGGCGCGGUGAAUACGUUCCCGGGCCUUGUACACACCGCCCGUCAAGCCAUGGAAGCUG